rnacentral:lncRNA from 1 species
UUCCUUCAAUCACAUAGAGCUUCUAUGAUGUUCUGGAUGGUUUAUUAGGAAUAUGCAGACAACCUUUAUUUUAUUAAGGUUCCAUUCCCCACCUUAAAUCUGCUGUAAGCAUAUUCAGUUUUGCCAGAUUCUAAAAACCUGAAGGAAUUCCAUGUGAGCUGGAAACACCUCCAGGAAUUGAUGUAGAGUGAAAGGACCAGAACCAGGAGAAUAUCAUACACAGAGACUGAUACGCUGUGGCACAAUCAAAUACAGUGAGAAGAGAGAAAAAAGAUGUCACCUGCUCCCAACACUAUGAGAAAGAGCCACUGCCCACUACCUCCCAGAGAGUAAUUGUCAACUCUCUCAGAGUAACAGCCACCCCAGAGAGUAACUGCCACUCCCAGAGACCAACCGCCACAGAAAAAAAAAAAAACAAAACUAUUAUACUGUCAACAUUUGAAACUGAUAUUGUCUCAUAUGAACUUUAAACUCCAAUUUUUUUCUCAAGCCAGCUUCUCUACUUCUUAUCUCUAAACUAAUAUAAUAAAACUUAAUUUCUAAUAUCA